UUACCUGUGCCUCCUGGAGCAAACCAACCUUCAGCACAAGUUCUAAUCACAACUAAACUAGAGUCCCAAACAACGAAAAGGAUGUCGUCGGAGGGAUUCAAUAAUCCGACAGGCAGUGCCACGCCUCCAGAGAUGCUGGAGCAUCCGAUGCCUCAGCCGCUGCACCAGACUUCUGCAGCCCAGAGGAUUACAUUGGGUAAGGCCAGAUAGUCAUGGCUAUGAUGGCGGUUCUACAACUAGUCCUGCCCCCCAACUCUACAUCAGCAACAACCCUAGUGAUCACCUCCAGCAAUUGUCUUUAUCCACUUCAAAGUAUGCCAAGGCUGCCCAAGAAUUGUUGGAAGAGUUUUGCAGUGUGGGAAGGGGUCAAUUCAAGAGGAACAAAUCGGAUCAACAGAAUAGCUCAUUAAAACCUAGUUCCAAUCCAGCUGCUGGCACUAGUGGCGCUGGUGUUACCUUGUCUUCAU